rnacentral:rRNA from 1 species
CCUACGGGAGGCAGCAGUGGGGAAUAUUGCACAAUGGGGGAAACCCUGAUGCAGCGAAGCCGCGUGAGUGAAGAAGUAUUUCGGUAUGUAAAGCUCUAUCAGCAGGGAAGAAAAUGACGGUACCUGAUUAAGAAGCCCCGGCUAACUACGUGCCAGCAGCCGCGGUCAUACGUAGGGGGCAAGCGUUAUCCGGAUUUACUGGGUGUAAAGGGAGCGUAGACGGCAGCACAAGUCUGGAGUGAAAUGCCGGGGCUUAACCCCGGAACUGCUUUGGAAACUGUGCAGCUAGAGUGCAGGAGAGGUAAGUGGAAUGCCUAGUGUAGCGGUGAAAUGCGUAGAUAUUAGGAGGAACACCAGUGGCGAAGGCGGCUUACUGGACUGUAACUGACGUUGAGGCUCGAAAGCGUGGGGAGCAAACAGGAUUAGAUACCCCAGUAGUC